UGGCGGUCAUCCCCAUUUCACAGAGAAGGACCGAGUCCUGGAAAGGAAGGCGCGCGCCAGCGUGCACACGGCUGAGCCUGGACUCCGAGCCUGGUCUUUCUUUGCUCCGCCUGCUGGGAACGAGUGUGAAGGUGACCUGAACGUGAUUUAGAGAACCCUGAAGUGUCUACAACUGCACAUAAAAUGGAAGCCCACCCUCCAAGCCUGUUCACUCCCCCGGCCCCCAGCCCACCACCUCCCUUUCUUUCUAGAAGAAACCACAACUCGGAAUUUGGUAUUUAUCCAUCUCAUACCACAUUUUUGUUCCCUUGCUAUGGGCAUAUGUAACCAUCAAAGCCUA